UUGCAGCCGGCAAGUCUUAUACGACCAGCUCCUAUUGAACCUCCCCAGGGCAGGAAUGCAGCAAGGAUAGAUGGUUGAGCGGUGCGAUAUAAGUAACUUGCCUUUUU
rnacentral:SRP_RNA from 1 species